GACGAACGCUGGCGGCGUGCCUAAUACAUGCAAGUCGAACGCAGUGGGGACGGGUGAGUAACACGUGGGUAACCUCCCAUCAGAGGGGAUAACACUUGGCAACAGGUGCUAAACCGAUACUGAUGGAUGAACCCGCGGUGCAUUAGCUAGUUGGUGAGGUAACGGCUCACCUAGGCCACGAUGCCUAGCCGGCCUGAGAGGGUGAGCGGCCACACUGGGACUGAGACACGGCCCAGACUCCUACGGGAGGCAGCAGUAGGGAAUAUUCCGCAAUGGGCGCAAGUCUGACCGAGCAACGCCGCGUGAGUGAAGAAGGUUUUCGGAUCGUAAAGCUCUGUCGUCAGAGAAGCGGUAUCUACAUAGAAAGCCCCGGCUAACUACGUGCCAGCAGCCGCGGUAAUUC
rnacentral:rRNA from 1 species